UAACCGGAGGUUUCGGCAUGGUCAUACAG
rnacentral:sRNA from 1 species